AUGUUCUCUGUAGCUCUCCUGCUGCUGCUGGCUGCUGGAUCCUGUGUGAAGUGUGAACAGCUGACACAGCCAGCCUCGGUGACUGUGCAGCCAGGUCAACGUCUGACCAUCAGCUGCCAGGUAUCUUAUGAUAUGAGCAGCUAUGCAACUGACUGGAUCAGACAGCCUGCAGGGAAAGGACUGGAGUGGAUUGGGGGGAAAUAUACUGGAGGUUCAGACUACAAAGACUCACUGAAGAACAAGUUCAGUAUAGACUUAGACACUUCCAGUAAAACAGUGACUCUGAAUGGACAGAAUAUGCAGCCUGAGGACUCUGCUGUGUAUUACUGUGCCAGAGACCACAGUGACUCAAAUUAG